rnacentral:rRNA from 1 species
UACGUAGGGGGCAAGCGUUGUCCGGAUUUAUUGGGCGUAAAGAGCGUGUAGGCGGCUAGAUAGGUCCGUUGUGAAAACUCGAGGCUCAACCUCGAGAUGUCGGCGGAAACCACUUGGCUAGAGUCCGGAAGAGGAGAGUGGAAUUCCUGGUGUAGCGGUGAAAUGCGCAGAUAUCAGGAAGAACACCUAUGGCGAAGGCAGCUCUCUGGGACGGUACUGACGCUGAGACGCGAAAGCGUGGGGAGCGAACAGG